rnacentral:rRNA from 1 species
AGCGAACGCUGGCGGCGUGCCUAACACAUGCAAGUCGAACGUGAACGGGGGCAACCCUUAGUAAAGUGGCGUACGGGUGAGUAACACGUAGGUAAUCUACCCUAGAGUCUGGAAUAACCGGCCGAAAGGCUGGCUAAUACUGGAUAGAGCGACGGAACUCGUAAAGAGUUUUUCGGGAAAGGGAGCUCGCAAGAGCCCUCGCUUUAGGAUGAGCCUGCGUCCCAUCAGGUAGUUGGUAGGGUAAUGGCCUACCAAGCCUUUGACGGGUAGCUGGUCUGAGAGGAUGAUCAGCCACACUGGAACUGAAACACGGUCCAGACUCCUACGGGAGGCAGCAGUGGGGAAUCUUGCGCAAUGGGCGAAAGCCUGACGCAGCCACGCCGCGUGAGUGAAGAAGGCCUUCGGGUUGUAAAGCUCUGUCGGGAGGGACGAGCAUCAUUGGUGUUAACAGCGCCAGUGACUGACGGUACCUCCAAAGGAAGCACCGGCUAACUUCGUGCCAGCCGCCGCCGUAA